CCUACGGGUGGCUGCAGUGGGGGAUAUUGGACAAUGGGGGAAACCCUGAUGCAGCGACGCCGCGUGAGGGAAGAAGUAUUUAGGUAUGUUAAGCUGUAUCAGCAGGGAAGAAAAUGGCAGUACCUGACCAACAAGCCCCGGCUAACUACGUUCCAGCAGCCGCGAUAAUACGGAGGGGGCAGGCGUUAUCCGGAUUUACUGGGUGUAAAGGGAGCGUAGACGGUUAUGUAAGUCUGGAGUGAAAGCCCGGGGCUCAACCCCGGGACUGCUUUGGAAACUGUGUAACUGGAGUACAGGAAGGGCAGGCGGAAUUCCUGGUGUAGCGGUGAAAUGCGUAGAUAUCAGGAGGAACACCGGCGGCGAAGGCGGCCUGCUGGACUGAAACUUACGUUGAGGCUCGAAAGCGUGGGGAGCAAACAGGAUUAGAUACCCGUGUAGUC
rnacentral:rRNA from 1 species